rnacentral:tRNA from 1 species
CCCCUUAAACGUAAAAAUCAAUUCACACCUUGUAAACCACAAAUGAACACUCUUCCCAUGGC